AUUGAACGCUGGCGGCAGGCCUAACACAUGCAAGUCGAGCGGAUGAAGGGAGCUUGCUCCUGGAUUCAGCGGCGGACGGGUGAGUAAUGCCUAGGAAUCUGCCUGGUAGUGGGGGAUAACGUCCGGAAACGGGCGCUAAUACCGCAUACGUCCUGAGGGAGAAAGUGGGGGAUGUUCGGACCUCACGCUAUCAGAUGAGCCUAGGUCGGAGUAGCUAGUUGGUGGGGUAAAGGCCUACCAAGGCGACGAUCCGUAACUGGUCUGAGAGGAGGAUCAGUCACACUGGAACUUAGACACGGUCCAGACUCCUACGGGAGGCAGCAGUGGGGAAUAUUGGACAAUGGGCGAAAGCCUGAUCCAGCCAUGCCGCGUGUGUGAAGAAGGUCUUCGGAUUGUAAAGCACUUUAAGUUGGGAGGAAGGGCAGUAAGUUAAUACCUUGCUGUUUUGACGUUACCAACAGAAUAAGCACCGGCUAACUUCGUG
rnacentral:rRNA from 1 species